AGUAAAUCGGUGACAGGGAAGAGUACUUCUAUAAAACUAUGUAGCGAGUCAAGGAUAGUGAAAGCUUGAUAUAGAAAAUAGAAGGAAAAUCACCCUAGAGUGCUUUUCUGAAAAUGAGUAAGAAAAGCCGUUUCAUUCACGUUACGAAUGCUAAGUGGACAAUGAUUUCAUGAAAUUUAUUGUCAAUUAGGGUGGUACCACGGGAAACCUUUCUCGUCCCUUUU
rnacentral:ncRNA from 1 species